UUCGGUAGCCAUAUCACCCUGUAGCCCAAUACUGGUUGCCCACUGAAGCUAAGCAGGGCUGAGCCUGGUCAGUACCUUGAUGGGAGACCUCCUGGGAAAACUAGGUUGCUGCUGGAA
rnacentral:rRNA from 1 species